rnacentral:rRNA from 1 species
UACGUAGGGCGCAAGCGUUGUCCGGAAUUAUUGGGCGUAAAGAGCUCGUAGGCGGCCUGUCGCGUCUGCUGUGAAAUCCCGGGGCUUAACCCCGGGCGUGCAGUGGAUACGGGCUGGCUGGAGGCAGGCAGGGGAGAACGGAAUUCCCGGUGUAGCGGUGAAAUGCGCAGAUAUCGGGAGGAACACCGGUGGCGAAGGCGGUUCUCUGGGCCUGUACUGACGCUGAGGAGCGAAAGCGUGGGGAGCGAACGG